CCUACGGGUGGCUGCAGUCGAGAAUCUUCGGCAAUGGGCGCAAGCCUGACCGAGCGACGCCGCGUGGAGGACGAAGGCCUUCGGGUUGUAAACUCCUGUCGAGGGGGAAGAAGGUCCGCAAGGGCUUGACUGAUCCCUGGAGGAAGCACGGGCUAAGUUCGUGCCAGCAGCCGCGGUAAGACGAACCGUGCGAACGUUAUUCGGAAUCACUGGGCUUAAAGCGCGUGGAGGGGGGGGGGCACGUCGGUCGGAAAUCCCCCGGCUCAACCGGGGAACGGGCGCCGAUACGACCGUCCUCGAGGGACGUAGGGGGACCUGGAACUUCCGGUGGAGCGGUGAAAUGCGUUGAGAUCGGAAGGAACGCCCGUGGCGAAAGCGAGGUCCUGGACGUUUUCUGACGCUGAGACGCGAAAGCCAGGGGAGCGAACGGGAUUAGAUACCCCUGUAGUC
rnacentral:rRNA from 1 species